GUGCUUUUUUCAGGAGCACAUAUACUAAAAUUGGAACAAUACAAAGAAGAUCAGCAUGGCCACUGCACAAGGAUGACAACAAAUUCGUAAGUAUUCUGUAUUUUU